rnacentral:rRNA from 1 species
UUUUUUUUUUUUUUUUUUGGGUUUUUUCCCGUCAGGCGAACGCUGGCGGCGUGCUUAACACAUGCAAGUCGAACGGAAAGGCCCUUCGGGGUGCUCGAGUGGCGAACGGGUGAGUAACACGUGGGUGAUCUGCCCUGCACUUUGGGAUAAGCCUGGGAAACUGGGUCUAAUACCGAAUAGGACUCCGGCCUUCAUGGGUUGGGGUGGAAAGCUUUUGCGGUGUGGGAUGGGCCCGCGGCCUAUCAGCUUGUUGGUGGGGUAAUGGCCUACCAAGGCGACGACGGGUAGCCGGCCUGAGAGGGUGACCGGCCACACUGGGACUGAGAUACGGCCCAGACUCCUACGGGAGGCAGCAGUGGGGAAUAUUGCACAAUGGGCGCAAGCCUGAUGCAGCGACGCCGCGUGAGGGAUGACGGCCUUCGGGUUGUAAACCUCUUUCAGCACAGACGAAGCGCAAGUGACGGUAUGUGCAGAAGAAGGACCGGCCAACUACGUGCCAGCAGCCGCGGUAAUACGUAGGGUCCGAGCGUUGUCCGGAAUUACUGGGCGUAAAGAGCUCGUAGGUGGUUUGUCGCGUUGUUCGUGAAAACUCACAGCUUAACUGUGGGCGUGCGGGCGAUACGGGCAGACUGGAGUACUGCAGGGGAGACUGGAAUUCCUGGUGUAGCGGUGGAAUGCGCAGAUAUCAGGAGGAACACCGGUGGCGAAGGCGGGUCUCUGGGCAGUAACUGACGCUGAGAGCGAAAAGACGGG